UCCUCUCUGAAUGGGAAACAUGUAGGAAGAGAAGGAGAGGGAGACAGCCAGGGAGGAAGCAAAACAGGGAUGCUGGCAGGGAGAUGUGGAGAAAGGAAGAGAGGUUUUAAGUCAAAGCGAGCUGCCCAUAAAUUCCAUUCUUUCUCAUUUAUUAGACCCUUUCCAAUUCACUGCUUAUGGGGGAAAGGUAUGUUUACCAUCUGUGAAGAGACGCCUGCGAGAAGAGGAUCCUCUCUACUGCAGAAUUGUUCCCUCCCCUUAUUGCAAUUUCUACAAUUUCUCCAUGGAAGCUUCACUCAUGAUCUAGACCUGGGGAGAGCUGGGCUGAGGAGAGCACAGGAGCUGCCCGACCACGACUGCCUGGAGAGAAUGCUCCAUGGAAGAGGGUGGGCUUCAGGCAGGCUGCACCCAUUUUGCAACAUUGCCCGGAGCCAGCGCUGGUCACUUUCCGGGCAGAAAGUAUGACACAAAGAGGCAGAUUGCAUUCUCAUUUCACAUGUGGACAAAGCCAUAUCAUGC